rnacentral:siRNA from 1 species
UGGUGCUAUCCUAUCUGAGCUUUAAUCAAAAUCUAUCGUUCGCCCUUUUUCAUUUUUUGACUUGUUGCCUUUUUUUCUUCUUGUGAUUCUGAUUUUCUUGACCUUGUAAGACCUUUUCUCGACCUUGUAAGACCCAAAAAUACCUUUGGUGUCUUUUCAUUUUUUUGUGUUUUGUAUUUUAAAUCACUCUCAAGUGAUAAUUGUAUUUUUAUCAUUUUUCUUCGUUCCAAAAAAAAAAAAAAAAAAAA